rnacentral:rRNA from 1 species
CCUACGGGAGGCAGCAGUGAGGAAUAUUGGUCAAUGGACGAGAGUCUGAACCAGCCAAGUAGCGUGAAGGAUGACUGCCCUAUGGGUUGUAAACUUCUUUUAUAAAGGAAUAAAACGAGGCACGUGUGCGUUUUUGCAUGUACUUUAUGAAUAAGGAUCGGCUAACUCCGUGCCAGCAGCCGCGGUAAUACGGAGGAUCCGAGCGUUAUCCGGAUUUAUUGGGUUUAAAGGGAGCGUAGGUGGAUUGUUAAGUCAGUUGUGAAAGUUUGCGGCUCAACCGUAAAAUUGCAGUUGAAACUGGUUUUAUUGAGUGAGUGAGAAGUAUGCGGAAUGCGUGGUGUAGCGGUGAAAUGCAUAGAUAUCACGCAGAACUCCGAUUGCGAAGGCAGCAUACCGGCGCUCAACUGACGCUCAUGCACGAAAGUGUGGGUAUCGAACAGGAUUAGAUACCCCUGUAGUC